AGCUACAGCAGUCGAAGCCAUAAUUCAUCCUACUAACACUCAUCUUGUGAGUUUUCCUGAGAAAGGAAACCAGCGAGAACCUGGAGCAACUGUUCCUCAAUGUGAUGAACUUGCCAUACGAAGCACAUGGAUCUGAGCAGCAUAAAGGACACAGGUCCAUCCAGAUCCCUUUCUAGAGGACACUCAUUCCCCCAGCUGACUGACCGGUUUGUGAGCUGCUGGGCCUCACAGCCCUAUUACCCUCUAGCUGCCAAAGGGAGCGUCCUGGUCCAACGUUUCUCCUGUCCGGUUCAAUGACGAGUUAAUACAGUAAACAAAGGGCCUGUCCCUCUCACCUCAGUUCAGAGGUGCCCCCUCCACAUCUCGGUUCCAGAGUCCCCGCUGCCUCGGUCAGGUCUCCGGUGCAGAUGCACCACAGUUUGGCAAGCUCUCCCUCUUCCCAGUCGUGCCUCCCCCAGUCCUGGAGUCAUUCCCGAAAGCACUCUCCCAUUAACUUCCUACCCACGAAUCUUUCUCUAUGAGUCUGUGCCCAGAAAACCCAACCUGAUACAGGAGGAUAUUCUUAACAGCCACAGCUGAUGGCACAGUGGGUUCAGGUGCCAGAUGGAACACAUCAAAGACCAGGUGGGAGAGGAAGAGGUGGAAUACAAUUCCGCUAAAUAAAAGGAAAGAAGCAGAGCAGCAGCUGGAGGACAAAGUUCUUCCACGUCCUCAUUUGUAAAGCAGGGUUAAUAAUGGUGCUCUGCCUCGACGAUAUUCUAUCCUUUUGCUAUGGAUCAGGAGGAUAACGUCGCUCUACCUCAUAGGGUAUGUUUUGAUUAAUCAUCGUCUUACCAAUAUAGAAAACUGGAGUACAGAAACAUUAUGACUUGUCCCAAACCGUAGACAUAUUAGCGAUUAAAACCAGGAUACAAACUCAGGCAGAUCCAACUCUAGAGUCUGCGCUGACCCGCCACUCUGCACCAUGGCUUCAGACAGGACUGACCCAAUGACGUGCUGGAGCUGACUCGCAAGAGCCCAUGAGCACAUCUCUUUCCAACCGUUGUUCUGUGAUGUCAUACAGGUAGCUUGAAAUGAGCCAUGGUGGAAGUCUUUACAUCACAGAAAUCAACCAAUAUUACGAAUCAGGAUUUUUUUUUUCUUUUACAGAAAGCUGUUUGUUAAACAUUUAUCAGAAUAUUAUUGGAUUUGCCUCAAAAGGAGGGACAUUGUCUCAACUGUAAUAGGAAGGAAUAAAGAAAAGAUGCAUCCAAGUUCACAAAAGAUGUGUAGAUACAGUGGUAGGACACCAAGGAGACUCCUGGUUUGUCUGCAAGGAAGAUGGCAAGGUCGUCUACAGAGAGUGAGGGGACAGGUGCAGAGUCAGGUGUUUGUGGGGAAGACCGUCACCACUCUGUGUAAUUCCUGCAGUAAUAAGGAUUUCUUGCCUCGUGGAUAUUACUAUCAUAGGUACCCUUGACCGUUCAUAGUCUGACCGUAACUAUUAAACAGCCUACAAUUCUUGUUAAAGAGUGUGAGGUAGUUAUUCUCAACAAGUUCUUUUUUUUCUUUUUACAAGUACAGAAUUAAAGAACUCCUUCAAUUUAAUAUAAACUCUCUAAUCAAAUGGAUCCUAUUAGAUUUAAAAUUUUCAUACCCUAAAUGGCACAAUAUAAAUAGCCUUCCUCUGGAAUUUUACCAAGCCUUGUUUCAGUCCAGGGGCCCUGCAAGUUACUCUGUAUAAUAUUUUAACAUCAAUGACUCUGAGAAGUGUGUGUGUCUGUAUACUUUUGUUGCCCUGUAUUUCUUUCCUUUUAAUAAUUAGCCGUAAGAUCCUUAAAAUGAAGGAGGUGCUCUGCGUUUCACAGUGUGGUGAAAAAGGAAACAGAAGAGAGGGUGGGAUAUGGGGAGACCACGACUCCCUGACAAGCACAGGGUGAGGGAAGAGAAGCCGCAGGGCAGAUGGAAGAAAGAAUUCAGCAGAAGUUUAACCCCUGCGAUCGGACAUCAGAAAGAGUAAAGAGAUGCCACAGCUGACCGAGUAGUGGCCUGGGGGCUCGGCAGGCAGUGGCCAAAGAAUGGAGGCUUCUAAGGGCUGAGGUGGCAUGUCGUCAACGUAGGAAAUAAUUGUACUACUCACAUGGCUUGUCAGAGAGAGUAAAAAGAAAACGAAACUUUGCAAGUCUAUGAUGUCAUCUAUGAUCACUUUUGAAAAGAACUCAGUGUUUAAAGGUUGUAUUUUAGACACAUGAGGGUGAAAAAUAGUUUGUACUUACGUAUGCUGUUCCUACUAGCUUGAGGGAGCGAGCGGCAAUUCUCAGGAAAGGAGAAUCUUUAUGUAGUUCUUAAUCUUGGAACACUUUAUCAACGCUUUCUAUAACCUCGUAAGCUAAGAAGGGCUUAUUGGCUUAGCAUCAGCUUCAUAAUUAUAAUUCAGAGCAGAAUUUAGCACAGAGGGGAGAAAAAAUAAGCUUUGUCGUCAUAGGACUGAGUUAUUCCUAAGGUCUCCUCCACCUACAAGUGUAGCACAUAUCUGAGGGUUUAAAAUUCUUUUUUCCAGACAGUUCUUUUAGGAGAAGGAAAGACUGUGCUUUAAUGAUUAUAGUAGCUGUUUUUAUGGUUUGUUAAAUAACUAGUCAGAUUCACAAACAGGAUGCAUUCUGAAAAGGCAGCUUCCAUCCCCACAGUAUUACUGCUGCGUUUUAUAACUGUUCACAGUACCAAGUCUACAGACAUUUGCUGGUGAAACGACGUGGCAAAAGGCAGGGCACAAAUCUGGUGGAAAGAAAUGUCAAGUAUGUAAGUAAAAUUGAGAGAUGAGAGGGAGCUUAAAAGAAAACAAUCCUAACAGAACAACGGCACAAAUUUAACCAGACAACUGGCGGGUCAAGUCAAGAGCAUUGCUGAACAUUUCAUUCUGCUGCACCUCACAUUCACUUUCUAUGCAGCGCCUUUUCAACGUAGGGUAUUCACUCCUUCGGUGAGGAUUGACCAGGCCCUUUCCUUGGGCCAGUCACAAGUGUGCUGAGCUCUGUGGCUGCAGCACACAAAUGGGAGACACGGUCAGAUAAAGAGAGAACUUCAACACAAGUAGAAACACGGUGUUCCAUUCCAGUGCAAUUGAGCUCCCAUCACAGAUAGGGUGUGAAGUCAGCGAACCAGCCUGGGUGUGCCCCAUAAUCACCUCCACAAACGGGGAUAAUGACACACACUGGCCCAUCUCAUUCAGCUCAAAUGCGUAACUUCUAAGUCUUCAACCAGAGCGUUAGGAGUCAGUGUGCAGCUUGAUGCUUAAUGCUGUGACAACAUGGCCAAACUGCAUGGAGAAAAGGAGAAUUCCUUUGACCUGACGCACAGCUGCAGCCCAGAGGAGCACAGCUUUUCGCAUGGGCCUGCUCCUCCCUUCCUCCCCCGCCUCUCAGCCUUCUUCUCCCCUCACCCUGUGAACUCACCUGGUCUUGUUAGGGGUGGGUGGGACAAGCUUGCAUCCAUUGGCCUCUGCUCUAGAUUGCUUCCGGCUGAUUGCCUGCAUGCUGUGUCCGAUGUGAGUCCUCAGGAGGAGCUGUCUGCACAGCAUAAGGACUGAAUCCUCCAGCCGCUGAGGUUUGGCCUCAGAGAGUCUGUGGUGGACCGUUUUUUAGCUGACUUUAGUCAAUCAAUUGCUUCACCCAACUCACAGCCUGUUAAUUCUCCAGAAGUUCAAAACAAUGUGCUUUCCUCCAAUCUCACCCACUGUACCUACAAACCUCUAUUGUACCCACAAGCCUCUACUGCACCUGCCAGCCUCUUCCCUGAGGUCCCGCCUCCCUGUCCUGCCUCACUCUCCUCACCUUCUUGCACAUGCUUCCCCAGUUUCAUCCAUUCAUUCAGCUUCCCUUCUUAUCCUGACAUACCACAGGUGUUCCUGCAUCCCUAUGGUUGUUUAGGAAUGAAGCAUGACUCAGCACACCUUCAAGAUCCUUCCACGCCAAGCUGAAGCCACCUCACCUGAGAAGUCCACCCUGAUGAUCCCCAGACCUAUUACUCUCUUCCAGAGCUUACUGGUUAGGGAGAACAGGUUCCAUCUGGCUUCAAAUCCUGACUUGGCCUCUAUAUGACCUUAAGAAGAUUGCCAACCAGUUUGUCUCCAUUUGCUUAUCUGAAAAACAGAGAUGUUUUCACUUACCUUAUGGGGUCGCUCUAAGUAUUAAAUGAGAUCAAUUAAGCAAAGUGCUGUGAGCAGUGCCUGGGGUCCUGCAUGCACGGUUUAGUCAGAGGGCCGAUGAGCUGACUUCCACGUGCUGCCUUGGUGGAGAAGCGGGUUGGCCCUGUCCAGCCUCUUAUAGUUAAUUCUCCUGAAAAGGCCUGAUGGAUGAUCUCAAGCCUGUAGUCAUGAAGAGGCCACUACUUUGAGCCUGCAGACCCUGUCAAGAAACCUAGUCAUCUGGACACUGGAUUCUUAAAGUCCGGAUUGACAGAUUCCUUCAGGUUAUUGGCUCUGAUGGAAACUUGGCCUGAAUCAAGACUUCCUGGUGCCCAGGUGGCUCCAGCGUCAACUAGGCAGGUUUCUAGCUGGCCGUGCUGCAACCACGUUACACUUCCACACCUGCCGUCCUGUUGUGUCUGUUCAUUUUACGCUGAGGAACCUGACAUCUAGUAAGAGACAAACAUUAAACAUCAACCUAGUAGCAGAGCCGUGAGAGACUCUGGACUCAUGAUGGCUUCUGAGGACUCUACCCCCUUCCCUGACUAACUCCAGCAGACAGACCUCCUCAAGAAAACCGUCCACGUCUUAGACUACCUGGUCUGAACAAGAACAAACUGUCUGGAAAGGAGGCACCUGCUGACCCUGCAGGUGCGCACCAUCCGAUUCCUCGUGUCGGUGAUUCUGACCAACUGCUGGCUGUUGGGUCCCCUGAAUCCACAGCAAACACACUCACUCAUGGCUUAAUCUCCUCCUGCACCAUCUAACUUGCCCACGGGGUCUUUAGUUCUCCUUCUGACAGAGAACCAUUUCACAUCUUAAAACCACUGAGUCAUCAAAAUAAAGUAAAACAGGAAGAACCUGGCAGGCCACAGAGUUGUGUGUCACGGAUGGGACCAGUUUCAAUAACAGUGGUCAACUCAAGGGGCAAGCCCGAUGUCGGGACCCAGACGUGACAGGGAGUAGUGACACCAGGAAGCCGGGCGAAAUGACAGAGGGAACCUGGCAGGAGCCACCAGGAGCCUGUGUCAGCCUGCGCUUCUCCCUGUCAACGCCCACCUCCAGCACCACGGCCUCCCUGCAAGUCCCAGAAAACACGUUUGUCUAGAGCUGAGUUCAGACACAGAAUAGGGUGAAGAAAAUUCCAAUGUAAAACCUAGGAUUGAAAAGAAAAAACACCAGGCGGACUGCGUUCUAUAGUUAUACCCGUGACGCCAUCUUGUUUGUCUUCAGUGGUGUCUUUUUUUGCAGGGGGGAGGUUGCUUUUGGGGAUUUUUGCUGAAAAUAACAGAAACUCCAAUUAAGACUGGGUUAAACAGUAAGAAAUGUUUUAUGUUACCAAAGGAAAAGUCUAGAAAUUGAUUCAGCAGCCUGGUGUUGUCAACAAGAUACUAGCUCUUUCCAUUUCUCUGCUCUCUGGCCUUGCUCUCCCUUCUCUCCAAGGCGAGUCCACCUCAAGGUCUUGGCUGGUAGCAGUGGGGCAGUGGCCUCCUCAACCACACCACCAUAGGAGACAAAGAGGACGUCUCCCCCACUGGAGAAGAGAAGAUGCUCAUUCUGUGGAGUUGAGCAAACCUGAGACACACGCGUCAAGAAGGCCAUUAGGUGGAUUCUGUGUGCGCAUCCUCAUCCAGACUCGUCAGGACCUGGGCUGAGGGUUUGGGAUGGAGAAGAUAUGUGAAAAAAGAUACAUGAAAAACAGAAGAGGGGGAAAGGGGAAAACAGAAGCUACAUGGGAAGAUCUGGCCCUCCACAUCCCAUCAGAAAAUCUGUAGUGAGAGUAACAGGCACAGAUUUGCACUGACUUUCCAAUCCAGUGCAUCCUAUCCAUUCAUUUCUAUAUAAAGUAUUGUAA
rnacentral:lncRNA from 1 species